GCUCACCAAGGCGACGACGGGUAGCUGGUCUGAGAGGACGAUCAGCCACACUGGGACUGAGACACGGCCCAGACUCCUACGGGAGGCAGCAGUGGGGAAUCUUGCGCAAUGGGCGAAAGCCUGACGCAGCAACGCCGCGUGGGGGAUGAAGGCCUUCGGGUUGUAAACCCCUUUCAGUGGGAACGAAAUUGACGGUACCCACAGAAGAAGCCCCGGCCAACUACGUGCCAGCAGCCGCGGUGAUACGUAGGGGGCGAGCGUUGUCCGGAUUUAUUGGGCGUAAAGAGCUCGUAGGCGGCUUGGUAAGUCGGGUGUGAAACCUCCAGGCUCAACCUGGAGACGCCACUCGAUACUGCCCUGGCUAGAGUCCGGUAGGGGAUCACGGAAUUCCUGGUGUAGCGGUGAAAUGCGCAGAUAUCAGGAGGAACACCAGUGGCGAAGGCGGUGAUCUGGGCCGGUACUGACGCUGAGGAGCGAAAGCGUGGGGAGCGAACAGGAUUAGAUACCCUGGUAGUCCACGCCGUAAACGUUGGGCACUAGGUGUGGGGCCUUAUCGACGGGUUCCGUGCCGCAGCU
rnacentral:rRNA from 1 species